rnacentral:rRNA from 1 species
AGGGAAUCUUCCACAAUGGACGCAAGUCUGAUGGAGCAACGCCGCGUGAGUGAAGAAGGUCUUCGGAUCGUAAAGCUCUGUUGUUGGUGAAGAAGGAUAGAGGCAGUAACUGGUCUUUAUUUGACGGUAAUCAACCAGAAAGUCACGGCUAACUACGUGCCAGCAGCCGCGGUAAUACGUAGGUGGCAAGCGUUGUCCGGAUU